rnacentral:rRNA from 1 species
UACGGAGGUGGCGAGCGUUGUCCGGAAUCAUUGGGCGUUAAAGGGCGCGUAGGUGGCGCGGCAAGCGUGCGGUGAAAGCUACGGGGCCUCAACCCCGAGUCGGCCGUGCGAACUGCUGGGCUUGGAGCACUGUAGAGGCAGGCGGGAAUUCCGGGUGUAGCGGUGGAAUGCGUAGAGAUCCGGAAGAACACCGGUGGGCGAAGG